GGGGAAUUUUGGACAAUGGGGGCAACCCUGAUCCAGCCAUGCCGCGUGCGGGAAGAAGGCCUUCGGGUUGUAAACCGCUUUUGUCCGGAAAGAAAAGGCGCCUCCUAAUACGGGGCGUUCUUGACGGUACCGGAAGAAUAAGCACCGGCUAACUACGUGCCAGCAGCCGCGGUAAUACGUAGGGUGCGAGCGUUAAUCGGAAUUACUGGGCGUAAAGCGUGCGCAGGCGGUCCGCAAAGUCUGAUGUGAAAGCCCCGGGCUCAACCUGGGAACUGCAUUGGAAACUAACGGGCUCGAGUGUGGCAGAGGGGGGUGGAAUUCCACGUGUAGCAGUGAAAUGCGUAGAGAUGUGGAGGAACACCGAUGGCGAAGGCAGCCCCCUGGGCUAACACUGACGCUCAGGCACGAAAGCGUGGGGAGCAAAC
rnacentral:rRNA from 1 species